rnacentral:rRNA from 1 species
AAUCAACGCUGGCGGCGUGCCUCAGACAUGCAAGUCGAACGAUUAAAGCUCUCUUCGGAGAGUGUAUAGAGUGGCGCACGGGUGAGUAACACGUAAGUAAUCUACCUUUGAGUGGGGAAUAACCCGGGGAAACCCGAGCUAAUACCGCAUAAUGCAGCGGCACCGCAAGGUGACAGUUGUUAAAGGAGCAAUCCGCUUAAAGAGGAGCUUGCGGCAGAUUAGCUAGNGGUAAGGUAAUGGCUUACCAAGGCUUCGAUCUGUAUCCGGCCUGAGAGGGCGGUCGGACACACUGACACUGAAUAACGGGUCAGACUCCUACGGGAGGCAGCAGUCGGGAAUUUUGGGCAAUGGGCGAAAGCCUGACCCAGCAACGCCGCGUGAAGGAUGAAGUAUUUUGGUAUGUAAACUUCGAAAGAAUGGGAAGAAUCAAUGACGGUACCAUUUAUAAGGU